GGGAACUGCUGGACAAUGAACUCCAGAAAAACAAGAAAACGGAAGGCACACAAUCAAAACACUUUCCAGAACCCAUGUAGAAUCCAUUCAUCAGAAUCUCCAAGUGAGGAAGGAUCCAUGUAAUAAUGACAACUAACCAUGUUUCAAAACAUGACAUGGAACAACAUCUAGAGACCAAAGGACACAGGACAACAUCCAGACCACAUCCA